rnacentral:rRNA from 1 species
CAGCCGCCGCGGUAAUACAGAGGGUGCGAGCGUUAAUCGGAUUUACUAAGCGUAAAGCGUGCGUAGGCGGCUUCUUAAGUCGGAUGUGAAAUCCCUGAGCUUAACUUAGGAAUUGCAUUCGAUACUGGGAAGCUAGAGUAUGGGAGAGGAUGGUAGAAUUCCAGGUGUAGCGGUGAAAUGCGUAGAGAUCUGGAGGAAUACCGGUGGCGAAGGCGGCCCCCUGGACAAAGACUGACGCUCAGGUGCGAAAGCGUGGGGAGCAAACAGGAUUAGAUACCCCGGUAGUCCCUGUCUCUUAUAU